rnacentral:rRNA from 1 species
UACGAAGGGGGCUAGCGUCGCUCGGAUUUACUGGGCGUAAAGGGCGCGUAGGCGGACAGUUAAGUCGGGGGUGAAAGCCCGGGGCUCAACCUCGGAAUUGCCUUCGAUACUGGCUGUCUUGAGUGUGAGAGAGGUGUGUGGAACUCCGAGUGUAGAGGUGAAAUUCGUAGAUAUUCGGAAGAACACCAGUGGCGAAGGCGACACACUGGCUCACUACUGACGCUGAGGCGCGAAAGCGUGGGGAGCAAACAGG